rnacentral:rRNA from 1 species
UACGUAGGGUGCGAGCGUUGUCCGGAAUUACUGGGCGUAAAGAGCUCGUAGGCGGUUUGUCACGUCGUCUGUGAAAUCCUCCAGCUUAACUGGGGGCGUGCAGGCGAUACGGGCAGACUUGAGUACUACAGGGGAGACUGGAAUUCCUGGUGUAGCGGUGAAAUGCGCAGAUAUCAGGAGGAACACCGGUGGCGAAGGCGGGUCUCUGGGUAGUAACUGACGCUGAAGCGCGAAAGCGUGGGGAGCGAACAGGAUUAGAUACCCUGGUA